rnacentral:misc_RNA from 1 species
CAAACACAAGGAGAGAAAAUAAAGAAUGAAAAAUAAAAAAUAUUUUUCUUCUUUUAUUUUCCUUCCUCUCCUAAAAUUUAUCCAAACAUAGUGUAAAAGAAGAAAAAAUCAUAGGACUUAUCAUUCACAUUUUUAAGGGAAAAAAAGAAGAAGAAAAGACUGGUAAGAAUUAGUUAUUUAAGAAUUUACUAAUGAAUAUAUUAUUAAAUUUAAGAGUUAGUUUAUUGGAAAUUGGGCAUAUGACUGAUUAUCUUAAAAUUAAAUGAGCACUAAAUUGUUCAUUUGUGAAACAGUUAUGCAAUAAUACACA